rnacentral:lncRNA from 10 species
AGUGCAGCUGAAUGGACUCUCUAGGACGAUCGCAUAGUACUGAUUGCAGUAGGAGUCGGUGGGCCUCGAGUAGGUGGGCCUCCGUAGGGAGCCAGCGUGGAUCGAGUGCGGGGCCUGGACUUCCCGCCCCCUCCGCACUGCAGACUCUGCGGUGAUUUAAAGGUGCCUGGCGGUGGUACGGGAUCCAACUGUAAAAUGUCAUCCCAGCUAGUGUGACAUCACCACAGUUUAGUGUGACACCCCCAGAGCUUGGGCAGUGUACGGGACGACAGUGCCUAGCAGAGGAGCUUCACUGCCGGUGAGGGAUUACCUCAGGUUAGGCUUUAAUGUUUCGUUGCCGUCUAGAGACGUUCUAGCAAUGUGACAUCUGUGUACCAUAUCUGGAAGUCUCCCUGUACGUCAAGAGCCCCUUAGGGGAGUCUCCCAUUGCCGCCGUGGGAACCUGUGUUUACAUUACGAGGAGAGAGAAUAGCUGUACUCUGAACUCAAACGCUCAAAACAUGCAGUGAGCGAAUGCUAGCAUAAUUUUCUUGCCUCUACCAGAAGGAAGGCUGGGUAUUUAGGAAACAGAACGCGUUGGGCACAACAUUCUGAGAAAAUGGACACAGAAAAUUAGGUUAUCCUAAUAGAAAAGCAGUUGCAUCUCCCAAAGUCAAGAGAUUCUGUAGGACUUCCGAUGUAUCUCCUGCUGUGUAAAAUAUUCAGGUUCCUGAAGUGGGGGACAUUUUUAGGGCAACUGUAAUUUCUUCAUUUUUUCCAUCCCACAAGUGCUGGAGGCAGCAGUGAUCUGAGCUCUAGAAAGUGACUGUCCGUCACCAUCGAAACUUCCUUCUACUACUUAAAGUCCUCACAUUGGGCUGACCUGGGAAACAUGAAGAUAAAAAGAGUGGGUAAACAUGCCUGCUUGAUGAGCCAGAAAAAAAGGCAGAAACCUGUGGUCUGGGUAGAACAGAUCCUGCUCAGAAUGUAUAAACCAGGAAAAGUUGUUCUGGCCCCUCAUCUGGUUUCAUGAAGGACAAUAUCUAGCAUGAGAGUGACAGGGGUUAGAAUAAUGGACAUUUUGGGGACUGGGUCCUAGCAGAAAUGAUGGAAUAAUGGAACAGGAGUUUGGAUGAAUGGGCAUAUUAUGGGAUUAAAGAAGAUUUGAAUACAAGCUUUCCUAAUAAAUGAAAGGGGAGGUGAAACUAGAGCAUGCUGAUGGCUGCACAGCAUUGUGAAUGCACUAAAUGCACUAACUGUCCACUUUAAAAUGUUUAGUAAUAUGUCGAUUUUACCUAAAUAAAAAAAAGGAAGCAA